GACUACAUGAAGCCGGAAUCGCUAGUAAUCGCGAAUCAGAAUGUCGCGGUGAAUACGUUCCCGGGUCUUGUACACACCGCCCGUCACACCAUGGGAGUCGGAAAUGCCCGAAGUCAGUGACCCAACCGUAAGGAGGGAGCUGCCGAAGGUGGAGCCGGUAACUGGGGUGAAGUCGUAACAAGGUAAC
rnacentral:rRNA from 1 species